AAAAAGACAAAUUCUGGGUGUUCGUGUCCAAUUUUAACUGUCCGUCUUAUAUAAAAUUUUUUUAUAAUUCGUAUUUUUAUAGUUGUUAGAUGAUAAAACAUGAUCAAUAUUUUAUGCGUGACUUAUCUUUUUAAAAAAAAUUUAUAUUUUUUUAAAUAAGACAGACGGUCAAAUAAUGAGCACGGAAAACAGAGCUUGUCUUUUU
rfam:Oryza glumipatula chromosome 9, whole genome shotgun sequence.